UCCACCUGUUCAAGAAAAUCCCUUUGUGUUUCAAGUCGCCGGAGUGCAAGGGGUCAGAGCCGAAAUUAUGGAAGAAGAAUUGGAUUGUAUCUUGUUUUUAUCCGCCAAAUUUUGCAAGACUUGCAAGGCCAUUAAUCC
rnacentral:ribozyme from 1 species